rnacentral:rRNA from 1 species
GAUGAACGCUGGCGGCGUGCUUAACACAUGCAAGUCGAACGAAGCACCUUAUUCUGAUUUCUUCGGAAUGAAAAAUUUGGUGACUGAGUGGCGGACGGGUGAGUAACGCGUGGGUAACCUGCCUCAUACAGGGGGAUAACAGUUAGAAAUGACUGCUAAUACCGCAUAAGACCACAGCACCGCAUGGUGCAGGGGUAAAAACUCCGGUGGUAUGAGAUGGACCCGCGUCUGAUUAGGUAGUUGGUGGGGUAACAGCCGACCAAGCCGACGAUCAGUGCCGAACCUGGGAGGGGGACCGGCAACGGUGGGACGGGAACACGGCCCAAACUCCUAGGGGGGGAAGCAGGGGGGAAUAUUGCACAAGGGGGGAACCCCUGAGGCAGCGCCGCCGCGGGGGAGAGAAAGUAUUGCGGAUUGAAAGGCCCUAUCAGCAGGAAAAAAAAUGACAGUCCCUGACUAAGAAGCCCCGGCUAAAUACGUGCCAGCACCCGCCGUAA